rnacentral:lncRNA from 1 species
UUGCAAAACAAACCUCAUCUCUGUUAUAAAGGGUACUUUUACAAAACAUAUAAAACUAUGAUAAUUUAUUGAACUGCUGGAUCAGUUUAUAUAUAAUCAAGGCAGCUUUGUAUGUGUGUGCCUUGAUGGAGGAAUGUUUGUAAUGCUGUACCAAUCAAAUUCAUUAUUUCUGGUACAUAUAUUUCUCAAAGAAAUCAUUGUAUGAAUCAUUUGAAGUAUUGUGAGUGUUAUAUAUAUACAGUGAAACCUGUUUAAAUCGAACUGCUUCAGGACUUGAGAUUUUGUUUGGUUUUCGUCGAUGUUUGGUUUUAUAAGGUUCACAACGCAUACAUGUGGUAUGACAGUGCCUUUAAUAGAACAUGUUUGGUUUAUACAUAUUUUCGGUUUAUGCAGGAUUCGGUUCAGUCAGGUUUCACUGUACAAUUUUUUGUGACAAUUUUUACACCAGUAGUAUAGGUAAAAGCACAAUUGAUUCUGAUGUCAUUAUCGUGGCAUCACAGAUGCUUAAUAUACCUCAUUUGAAGGCUUUUGUUAUUGUAUAUCACCACAGCAGUAUUCUCUUGUCUUGAAUUUGUGUAUUAUUCUAGAAUUCUCUUUAAAUACGAUAAUCUUUAAUGACAAUAGUAGAACGAGUUUCUCUACCAAUAUGUGGUAUACAGGGAUGGCACUUUGAAAAUUAUGCAUUAUUUCAUUUGAGCGAUUUAACAUUUCAAGGCAAAUUUUUUGGUUUGUAAAGUGGCCAUCAUGAAUUUUAAAAAAUGAGUUCCAUCUCUGUGUGCUUUGUUUCUAAAAAAGGAACCGCACCGACUGUCUUUGAAAAACCAAAGUAAUUGAACAGAGGAAAUAUAAUUAUUAUUAUUUGAGUUAAUGGUUGCCUCUGGUUCAAAAGGAAAACAAAGCCUAAAAAUUUGUUAAUACGGAAAAUAAUAACAAUGGAAUAAUGAGGUUUUUUAAGCCAUUAAGGGCGAUUUUUUUUUAUGUAUUUGGAAGUCUAGUUUUCUUAAUUGAUUAAAUAAAGAAUUUACCAUUUUAGAUUUUAUUAAGGUUUUUUUAAGUUAGAACAUUCUUAAAACUGCAGACCUACAUUUUAAGAUGGGGAUUAUGAAAAUAAAAAAGUAUUUGUUUUAUAUAUUUGGUACUUGUCCUUACUUUUAGACAAAAAUACCUCUUUUCACAAGGUUAAUUUCUUGCUUGGAGCAGGGGUUACUAAUUCUUCUAUGGCCUUUUGUUUUGACAUACUAUUUGAAUGUAAUAUUAUAUAUCAUUCUGGUACCUGUAGAACAGACUUAGUAUUUUACAAAACUUGAAGGUUGUAGUAAUUAAGUGUUCAAUUAUUUAUAGUGUCCUCAUUAUAUAGGACGGGACAGUAGUCCUGUGUGAGUGAAUGAAAUUUGUAUAGGUUUGAUUGAAAAAUUUAUAAAAAAUUUAAGAACUAAGAUUGUUGCUGACUUCAAUGAAAUGUAAGCAUUAGGCCAUGCUUAAUUAAUUUUUUAGAUUCUAUUUUUUUUAGGAAGGCUUCAAUUAUUGUGUGUUGAUUUUCACUAAUUGCUAGGAACAUUAUUUUUGAAAAUGUAAAAUAUGAAUUCUGAAAUGGAAGUUGUAUGUGAAUUUUUGUGAGUCUAAAACAUUUUUUUAUGUGGCCUUACUUUAUAGAUUAUUAUUAAAGUGGCAACAUUAUUUCAGAUCACCAGAAAUAAAGAGCAGUUGUUAAAUAUUUUAUUUAUAAGUGUAUUCUCAUUUUAAAAAAACUAAACAGGUUUUUGGUCUGUAGUACCUGUAACAAUAUUUAUAAAAAAUCAAGUCUUGUAUACCAAUAAUAUUGAUGUAUUUGGCAGGUUCUUUAUUUUUAUAUCUGUUUACAAUAGUAUUGAUGUUAAUAUGCAUGCAGUUCAAAAAUCAUGAUAGUCGAUUUAAGAUUGUAAAAGACUUAUUUAUUAGUAUCCCUAUAUACAAUCACGUAUAGGCUCUAGACUGGAUUUAGUUGCACACUAGAUCAGAGAUCUAGAUUUACGAGAAAUUGCAGAAUACAAAGCAUGUACUAAUUUAUUUUACAUUACAAAUCUCUUUGUCAAAUUUAACUAUCAGAAUAUAGUAUUUUAUAUGUCGGAUAAAAAUCUUUUUACAACAGUGUUAUACUAUAGAAAUAUUUUACAAUUUAUCAAGACUGCUUUUACCCUGUUAAUGCAGGUAGUUAUCAUCUGAUGCCUGAGGCUUCUUGUACAAAUGUUUUGUUACAUUUUUCUCUUGUUAUAUUUAUCAGUUUGUUUUUGCGUCAUAUUAGUGUAUGAUAAAACUUAAAAGCCUGCAAUACAUUCAAUAAAAUAACAAUUUGCAACAUCUUUAUCUGACAUUACACUGUUCAGUUUUGAAAUAUUUUUUGGAAAAGUCAAAUGUCAGUAAUUUUUGAAAAAUGGUAAAGAAGGGAUGUAAGACAUCAAUGUACAACACAAAAUCUCUACACCCACUUUGUUAAAAGGAAGAGCAAAUGGAGCUUUCACUACAUAUCAAAAGCUAUGCUAGAUGUUGAUAGGCUUUUACCUUAGCAUUCAUCAUACUUUGAUUAGGUAAAGGGACAGGAGGUCUGGACACACUGGUUUACCUUUGUUGUUACUACCUCACAACUACUCAAAUUUUUCCAAUAAUGAUCUCAGCAUUCAUAUUUCACAGUGCUUUAUUUUUAAUAUGUAAUAUUAAUUUGCAGUUUCUGUUACAUUUAAUAAGGGUUCUCGAUAAAAAAAUAUCUGGUUUCAACAGAGCCAAAUAGUCGUUUACCUGAAUUUUAUUUUUUUUAAACUGAAAUUUUUGAAAGAUGUAAUAUUUUUCAUAGCUCAAGGUUGUAUUUCACCUAUAUAUAUAAAUAUUGACUAUAGAUGUGCAUUUAAUCUAAGGGCAGGGGCUAGGGUAUUUGCAGGCUUAUUUGUUUUAUCAUAGACUAAAUAGAGAUGUAGAAAUUAUGUUUGUUGAAUCUCUUUAUUGUUAAUCAUGUUUAGACGUUUAGACAAUUUGUUCGUUAAGAGUUGAUAUGAUAAUUGUUUUCAGCAUCUGAAACCAAACUUGUUUUUUCUGAAAUUAUUUUUUACUUGAAAUGAAUGUUAACAAAUUAAAUAUCACUUAUUAUCUUUUCUAAGUUUUGUUUAAGAUUGAUGAAAAAAAAUGAAAAUUGUGAUCCUUUAAGAAGUUAGUUUUCUUGUGUGAUUAUUGUCAAGUUUUAAUCCCUCCACAAUAUAAUUCUAUUACACAUAUCUUUCUGUACUGUGUAUUAUUUAAAAAUCAUUGCUCUUUUGUCAGACACAUUUUUGUGAGUAUGGGAACAAACAUUGCUUAUGUCAACAAAUGAAUUAAAUGUUGCUAAAUCAGAUAAAUAAAAUUUCCAUCUACAUUGUUAGAAGAUAUCUGUGUAUUUUGUAAUUUGGAAAUAACUAUUCUGGAUAUUUAAGACUAGAGAAUAUUUUGGAAAAUGGUCUCUUCUGUCAAUUGGAUUUAAGACUAGCAAUUCAACGGGAAAAAAAUACAAAAUCAGGAGCAUUAUUAUUCAUUUAAAUAAAAAUGUAAAAACUUUCACCUAAUGUGUAAAAGAAAUACAAGGGAUCUGCUUGAGUGUCAAUUACAGAGAAAUUAACAAGUGUGUAGAUACAUAUGUAGCCAAUGUGAUAUUAAAUUGUUUUGUAAAAUCAAGUAACUUUUUACAUAAAUCUUGAUAGUAGUCAUGAUUGUCACAUUAGAAUUUACAUGCAAAACAUCAAACUUAUUUUGGUAUUUGAGGGAAAUAAAUGAUUGAAAACAUG